rnacentral:rRNA from 1 species
AGUGAACGCUGGCGGUAGGCCUAACACAUGCAAGUUGAACGGCAGCACAGUAAGAGCUUGCUCUUACGGGUGGCGAGUGGCGGACGGGUGAGGAAUACAUCGGAAUCUACUUUUUCGUGGGGGAUAACGUAGGGAAACUUACGCUAAUACCGCAUACGACCUACGGGUGAAAGCAGGGGAUCUUCGGACCUUACGCGAUUGAAUGAGCCGAUGUCGGAUUAGCUAGUUGGCGGGGUAAAGGCCCACCAAGGCGACGAUCCGUAGCUGGUCUGAGAGGAUGAUCAGCCACACUGGAACUGAGACACGGUCCAGACUCCUACGGGAGGCAGCAGUGGGGAAUAUUGGACAAUGGGCGCAAGCCUGAUCCAGCCAUACCGCGUGGGUGAAGAAGGCCUUCGGGUUGUAAAGCCCUUUUGUUGGGAAAGAAAAGCAGCAGGUUAAUACCCCGCUGUUCUGACGGUACCCAAAGAAUAAGCACCGGCUAACUUCGUG